CUUCACGGAGUUUUCUUAAAUCGAUUGGCUAGAGGCACGUUUCUUGUUCCUCGAUGGAAGUGGAUACGGAGAAUGUCGCGAUGGACGACUCAGACGCUCUAAUGAGGACCGACGACGGCGGCGGCGUCAUCAACAGUAACAUCGACGAUGACGAUGGAGCGCCCACCGUCGAGGAAACUUAUGAGAUUACCACCACCAGGCGUAAAACCAUCCGCACCAGCUACAAGAUCCAGGAGACUUCUUCGUCGACCAAGACAACCACCAUGACGACAGCGGCCAAGCUGUACGGCAAAGAUCUGAGCGAGUAUGAUGACAUUGACGUGGAUCAACUGCUGGCGGAGCUUACGCCGGAGGAGCUCAAUAUAUUGGCCAAGGAAGUGGAUCCUGAUGACAGUUUUAUGCCGCCUUCGCAACGUUGCAGUUAUGAAUGCAAUAAGAGUCCCACAGGGCCGUUGAAUCGUAAGAAGCUCAUUGAGCAUAUCAACAAACAGGCUUUAGAGACACCUGAUAUUCCAGAACUGAAGCCAUAUGUACCUGGUACAAUUAGGGGCAAGAAAUGGAUACCUCCGCCACAAGACAAUACGAAAGAAAAGGAGGCAGACGAGCAGAUCGCAAUAGAUCUCGGUGAAGAGUAUGAACAAGCACUUUCAGCUGCCACCCAAGAAGAAAUCAUUGAUCUUGCUGCUAUUCUUGGUUUCCAUUCUAUGAUGAAUCAAGAUCAAUAUCACGCAUCUCUACUGAAUUCUGGACAGCCAGUUGGACUCGGUUGGGAUGGUGUGACAAAGGCUAGUCAACCGAAAAUUUAUCCAAUGGAACCGCCUAAUGACACGGACGUUGACGCUACCAUUAAACAAGUGCGAAAUGAUGAUUCCUCUCUAACUGAUUUAAAUUGGAAUAAUAUUAAAAAUAUUUCGGACGAAAAAUUCAUGCAGUUGUUCGAAGGUUUGGAAAUGAACACACAUCUCGAAUCGCUAAGUUUGACCAACGUUGGACUCAAUGACAAGACCGCACAACGGCUAGCCGAUGCCAUAGAGAAGAAUUCGACACUCAGAGUACUCAACGUGGAGACAAAUUUCAUAAGCCCGCCUGUGAUAGUAAAGCUGAUCAGAUCCCUUCUUAAAACAAAGUCUAUCGAAGAAUUCCGAUGUUCGAAUCAGAGGUCACAAGUAUUGGGUAACAAAAUUGAGAUGGAAAUCACACAAUUGGUAGAACAAAACCCGACGUUGCUGCGACUUGGAUUGCAUCUGGAGUUCAAUGACGCCAGACAUCGCGUAGCUGCGCAUCUGCAACGCAAUAUUGAUAGGAUACGGAAAGAUCUAACGCUGCGACUACAGUUCCGAUUCUUUAACAUGAACCACAGGAAACCUGCCUUGAUUCAAUGAAAGUACGGCAGUCCCGGCUCGGGGUGGCGACAUCUUAACGCGAAGUGGCGUUCGCCUAGAUCGCCUGCGCCGCAUGGGAAGAGCUUCCCGUAACUACACCAUCGGCUGGACCAUGCACUGAUGAUGAUCGCCACGACGAUGGCAACGGCGACGAUGAAGAUGAUGACGACAAUGAUACGCUGAUAAGCACGCGCGAUUUUUUCGCUGCGUCAGACGCACCGCGCCAUAAAUCGGCCUCCACACGCAUCUACUCCCACACGUACAUGCAUUCAUGUAAUAUACGUCAUUACACAGCGCAGUGUCGAAUCUCUCGAAAGCGUACCAUUUUUGUACUCAUGGAAUUCGAAAUCCUCUGAUUCGUUUUGAAAUCCGCAUUAACGGACACUUGAAAUUAUUAUACGAUAUGAAUUACGUGGAGGAGAAGUCGGAAGCUUCGUAUGGCAAAUUAUAUGUGGGUGUCUCUCGUCUUUGUUGUUUUAAAUAAAUAUAUAGAUAUAUACAUUUAUAUAAAUAUAUAUUCCUGCAUCACAUACAAAGCUAUACUGCGCGAAAGAUACUCCAAUUACGCGUCAGGAUGUAAUAAAUUUAGAUCGUCGAAUAAAAACGCGUAUUGAGAUAGUGUUAAUUAAUAUAUACAUAUACAUAUGUAUAUGUUAUACAUGUUGCAACGUAUAUAUAAUUGUUAAGUUGUCGGAGAUAAGUUUCGCGGAGGGAAUUUUAUAAGGGAAGUGCAAGGAGCCGAAGGGAUAACUUUUUUAAUAUAAUAUACGCGCCGUUUGCUCUAAACGGUUACUUAACUCGAUUAUUUAAAUAUUUAUACGAGGAGGGAAGAAGUUAUUUCAUUAAUUAAUUUGACCAAACUUUCGACCGAGUGUGACUGAGCGAUCGGGUACAAACUGUUCUGUGUUCUCCAUUUUCUUUCUUCUUUUGUCAAAAUUAUCCUUUUCACCGCUGUAUUCUUGAUAGAACAAGUUGCCGUUUCUUAUUUAUUAAAAUAAGCGUAUAGCUGUAUCCAGAAUAGCUGUGUCUAUAUGAUUUUAAUGCAUCGCUGUGGCUGAGGUAAGUAUAGGAAAAAUUGGUAAAUUGGUAAAAGAUUGGUAAAAGAUUGAAGGACAGAAGAAUCGAUAAAUUUUACUUUUUAAUUUAAUGUUCUAUAUUCUUUAAUCCUCUUUGCAUUACUUCUUUUAAAUUAUUUGUCACUUAAAUAGUAAAUGUUGGAAUGUCUAAAGUUGAUUAAUUAAUUGCGAAUACAUAAAUUUUUCAUUAGAUGCAAAUAAAGAACGAUACCACCGACCCGAUCGUUCCGCUCGGCGUGCAAUGUCACUGUAAUAUUCGCUAAGGUACUAACUCGUCGUUUAAAUUAAUAAUAAUUUAGCAUAUACAUGUAUACAAUCAAUCUGUACAUAUUGUCUUCAAUAUCGUUUCUAAUCAAUCGAUGUGACCUACGUGUUGUAACGAGAGAGAAUGAAUUUAUUAUAGACGCGCGAGAGAGAAAGUGACGUAAUUGUCUCUGUAUGCAUGCGGGUGCGAACGAGAGGGGGAAAAAGGAGCGCGAAUACGUGGGUGAAGAUAAUUAUGUGGAAAAGUCUUACUGAUGUAAAUCACGCUGAUUGUCAUAGGUAUCGUACAUGCUGUAUGUAUUCGGGAUAACUGAAUCCACGGAGAAUAUACGUAGAUCAAAAGUACUGCGCCGUAGAACAGAAUUGUAGAACUGUAGAAAGAGAUUUUAUACUCUCACGCUACGUGAGGACGCAAUCAGUCUGAAUUGUCGCAAUUAAUCCGACAGGUCAUAAUUUAAGUAACCCGCACUGUCUUUGCACUUUUGGAACGCGUGUCGAUUUUUUUAAGAGUUCCAUCCAUUUCGAGAAUCUUCGAGUUCGUCGAUUGACUCGGACUUUUCUGUAUCUUCUAUACGCUUUUCUAUAAAUGACGUGAAAAGUUUUUCGUAAAGCGUAGGUGAGUCGUGACGACGAUAAGCGGGAAGAAAAGAAAAAGAAUCGAUAAUGAAAGAUAUUGUAAUUUUUGCACGUGACCUUCCGGCGAUCUUAUUGUAAACGUAUUAAUCGCAUAUGUACUCUGUUACACGCGUCACAUUACGUACACGUACAACACACGAAAUCGAAAUGCACGCGCACGAACAAAGCCUUGCUGCUAGCCUUAUCUUGUAACACGAGGUUUAAAAUAAACUACUGA